GGAGGCAUCUCUUCCGUGCAGGCAGGCUCUCCUGGGGACCUCAGAGAUUCUCUCCAGCGGCAGCAGAAAACGGGCAAUGGGUGGAUUCGGGUCCAGAUUCUGGCAGGAGGGAGUUUGGGAUCGAGAUCUGGAAAAAAGCACUAGACUGGAAGAGGACGCGAUGGAGUCGGAGCCGCUGGCGGGUACAAAAACCAGAGGCCGGGGAAGGCGCCGGUGGGAGGCAAGGCACGGAUGGACUUUACCUGCGCACGCGUCGCAGCCAUCUCCGCGCACAGUGGUGGCCACCGCGACUGGUGCUGAAGUGUCGGCGUGUGCCGGGCGCUCCGCUGGGACCCGGGUUGCUCGCCCUGAGUCUCAGCUUUCUCAUCUGUACGGUUGGGACAAGUACAGUAACCCUCGCCCGUCAAGACGGGCCAGGGCUGUGGCGAGGGUCCACGCCUUAGAGCAGGCACCUAUCUUGUGCAGGGCCCUGAGAUGGGGUCUGACUCAGUUCCUGCGGGGAACUUCACCAGUGACCCAGUCAGUGCCCUUCAGUUAAAGACCACCAGGAGCACACUUCAUUGCUGUUGGAAAGGCUGAUGCCAAUCAAAACCAAUUUUUCCCUAAAGGAUGAUCUGUCUUCUCAUCAUUUUGACAGGAUGUAACAAAACAAAGGAGUCUUCAAUGUUAUAUCAUGGAAAUCAGGACAGUGGCAGUUCGGAUUGUGGCAAUCAAAGGGGUGGAAAGUGAAUUCUAUCUUGCAAUGAACGAGGAAGGAAAACUCUAUGCAAAGAAAGAAUGCAAUGAAGAUUGUAACUUCAAAGAACUAAUUCUGGAAAACCAUUACAACACAUAUGCAGCAGCUAAAUGGACACACAAUGGAGGGGAAAUGUUUGUUGCCUUAAAUCAAAAGGGGAUUCCUGUAAGAGGAAAAAAAACGAAGAAAGAACAAAAAACAGCCCACUUUCUUCCUAUGGCAAUAACUUAAUUGCAUAUGGUAUAUAAAGAACCAGUUCCAGUAGGGAGAUUUCUUUAAGUGGACUGUUUUCUUUCUUCUCAAAAUUUUCUUUCCUUUUAUUUUUUAGUAAUCAAGAAAGGCUGGAAAACUACUGAAAAACUGAUCAAGCUUGACUUGUGCAUUUAUGUUUGUUUUAAGACACUGCAUUAAAGAAAGAUUUGAAAAGUAUACACAAAAAUCAGAUUUAGUAACUAAAGGUUGUACAAAAUUGUAAAACUGGUUGUACAAUCAUGAUGUUAGUAAUAGUAAUUUUUUUCUUAAAUUAAUUUACCCUUAAGAGUAUGUUAGAUUUGAUUAUCUGAUAAUGAUUAUUUAAAUAUUCCUAUCUGCUUAUAAAAUGGCUGCUAUAAUAAUAAUAAUGCAGAUGAUGUUAUAUAAGGUGUAUCAGACCUACAGGCUGCUGGCAGGAUUUGUCAGAUAAUCAAGCCACACUAACUAUAGAAAAUGAGCAGCAUUUUAAAUGCUUUCUAGUGAAAAAUUAUAAUCUACUUAAACUCUAAUCAGAAAAAAAGAAUAUUCUCAAAAAAAUCUAUUACGAAAGUCAAUAAAAUAGAUAAUUUAACAAAAGUACAGGAUUAGAACAUGCUUAUACCUAUUAACAAGAACAAAAUUUCUAAUGCUGCUCAAGUGGAAAGGGUAUUGCUAAAAGGAUGUUUCCAAAAAUCUUGUAUAUAAGAUAGCAACAGUGAUUGAUGAUAAUACUGUACUUCAUCUUACUUGCCACAAAAUAACAUUUUAUAAUUUCUCAAAGUAAAAUUGAGAAAUCUUUAAGUUUUUUUCAAGUAACAUAAUCUAUCUUUGUAUAAUUCGUAUUUGGGAAUAUGGCUUUUAAUAAUGUUCUUCCCACAAAUAAUCAUGCUUUUUUCCUAUGGUUACAGCAUUAAACUAUAUUUUAAGUUGUUUUUGAACUUUAUUAUUUUGUUAUUUAAGUUUAUUUUAUUUAUUAAAAAAACCUUAAUAAGCUGUAUCUGUUUCAUAUGCUUUUAAUUUUAAAGGAAUAACAAAACUGUCUGGCUCAACUGCAAGUUUCCCUCCCCUCUGUGACCGAGACUAAGUCUAGCACACAGCACUUGGGCCAGCAAAUCCUGGAAGGCAGACAAAAAUGAGAACCUGAAGCAAUGCUUACAGUAGAUGUCUCACACAGAACAAUACAAACAUGUAAAAAAUCUUUCACCACAUAUUCUUGCCAAUUAAUUGGAUCAUAUAAGUAAAAUCAUUACAAAUAUAA